GGAGAGGUAGCAUAAUGGUUAUGCAAAAAGACUUUCAUGCCUGAGUCUGAGAUCCCAGGUUCAAUCCCUGGCACCACCA
rnacentral:tRNA from 1 species